GGCCAGGGGUUACGGGCGGGGCAUCAGCGUUGACAGGCAGGCGUCCGGUCCCGCCCCUCUCGUCCUGAGCGGCCGCGCCAGCGCGGGAGACAGCAGAAGUGAGUACGUGAGCGGCGCUGCGAGAUCUUCGCUCGGAACCCGGACGGCGUGCGCACCCGAAGCCCGGGAAUCCGAGUCCGGCCCGCGGCGGACCGCCGGAUUACUGUACACCCGAACUACGACCAUUUGAGCCCUCCCGCCCCGGCUCGCCUCCCCGAGUCCUCCGGCUGCAAGCUCUCCAGCGCCAGGAUCCUCCUGGACCGGUCCGUCCUGAUUCCCUAGGGACCAGCCUUUCCGCAUCCGCAGCACCGCUGGGCUCGGGGCGCUCGCUCGGACCCGGAGCCUCCCGCUGAGGAUACACCGCCUUCGGCCCGGAUCUCCCGGGAUCGUGCGCGCCUGUCUCGGAGUCCCUGGAGCGGACCUUCUCCGGUGUCCGCAGCCCGCCGGCGCGACCCGGCGCGGCCCGGCUCGGCUCCCGCAGUCGCCCGCCAUGGCCCGAGCCCGCCCGCCGGGGCGCCUGCAGCUGUUCCCGCCGCUGCUCCUGCUGAUGCUGCCCGCCGGCUGCCCGGCGCUGGAAGAGACCCUCAUGGACACAAAAUGGGUGACAUCUGAGUUGGCAUGGACAUCUCAUCCAGAAAGUGGGUGGGAAGAGGUGAGUGGCUAUGAUGAGGCCAUGAACCCGAUCCGCACGUACCAGGUGUGUAACGUGCAUGAGUCAAGCCAGAACAACUGGCUUCGCACAGGGUUCAUCUGGCGGCGGGACGUGCAGCGGGUCUAUGUGGAGCUCAAGUUCACCGUGCGUGAUUGCAACAGCAUCCCCAAUAUCCCUGGCUCCUGCAAGGAGACUUUCAAUCUCUUCUACUACGAGGCUGACAGCGAUGUGGCCUCGGCCUCUUCCCCCUUCUGGAUGGAGAACCCUUAUGUAAAAGUGGACACCAUCGCGCCUGAUGAGAGUUUCUCACGGCUUGAUGAUGGCCGUGUCAACACCAAGGUGCGCAGCUUUGGACCACUCUCCAAGGCCGGCUUCUACUUGGCCUUCCAGGACCAGGGUGCCUGCAUGUCACUCAUCUCUGUGCGUGCCUUCUACAAGAAGUGUGCGUCCACCACCGCAGGCUUCGCACUCUUCCCUGAGACCCUCACUGGGGCUGAGCCCACCUCUCUGGUCAUUGCCCCUGGCACCUGCAUCGCUAACGCUGUGGAGGUCUCGGUGCCACUCAAACUCUACUGCAAUGGCGAUGGGGAGUGGAUGGUGCCUGUGGGUGCCUGCACCUGUGCUACUGGCCACGAGCCAGCUGCCAAGGAGUCCCAGUGCCGGCCCUGUCCUCCUGGGAGUUACAAGGCAAAGCAGGGAGAGGGACCCUGCCUCCCCUGCCCCCCCAACAGCCGUACCACCUCACCAGCUGCCAGCAUUUGCAUCUGCCACAGUAACUUCUACCGUGCAGACUCGGACCCCGCGGAUAGUGCCUGUACCACGGUGCCAUCUCCACCCCGAGGUGUGAUCUCCAAUGUGAAUGAGACCUCACUGAUCCUCGAGUGGAGUGAGCCCCGAGACCUGGGGGGCCGGGACGACCUCCUAUACAACGUCAUCUGCAAGAAGUGCCAUGGGGGCCCUGGGUCCGGGGUCACCUCGGCCUGUUCACGCUGUGAUGACAAUGUAGAGUUUGUGCCUCGACAGUUGGGCCUGACAGAGCGCCAGGUCCACAUCAGCCAUCUGCUGGCCCAUACGCGCUAUACCUUUGAGGUGCAAGCAGUCAAUGGUGUCUCGGGCAAGAGCCCUCUGCCCCCCCGCUAUGCAGCUGUGAAUAUCACCACUAACCAGGCUGCCCCAUCCGAAGUGCCUACACUGCACCUACACAGCAGCUCAGGCAGCAGCCUGACCCUGUCCUGGGCGCCCCCAGAGAGGCCCAAUGGAGUCAUCCUGGACUAUGAGAUGAAGUACUUUGAGAAGAGUGAGGGCAUCGCCUCCACGGUGACCAGCCAGAAGAACUCUGUGCAGCUGGAUGGGCUGCGACCCGACGCCCGCUACGUGGUCCAGGUCCGUGCCCGCACGGUAGCUGGCUAUGGGCAGUACAGCCACCCGGCCGAGUUUGAGACCACAAGUGAGAGAGGCUCUGGUGCCCAGCAGCUCCAGGAGCAGCUUCCCCUCAUCGUGGGUUCUGCCACGGCCGGGCUUGUCUUCGUGGUGGCUGUUGUGGUCAUUGCCGUCGUCUGCCUCAGGAAGCAGCGUCACAGCUCUGACUCGGAGUACACAGAGAAGCUGCAGCAGUACAUCGCUCCUGGAAUGAAGGUUUAUAUCGACCCUUUCACCUAUGAGGACCCUAAUGAGGCUGUGCGGGAGUUUGCCAAGGAGAUCGAUGUGUCGUGCGUCAAGAUCGAGGAGGUGAUUGGAGCUGGGGAGUUUGGGGAAGUGUGCCGGGGUAGACUGAAACAGCCUGGACGCCGGGAGGUGUUUGUGGCCAUCAAGACCCUGAAGGUGGGCUACACUGAGAGGCAGCGGCGGGACUUCCUAAGUGAAGCCUCCAUCAUGGGUCAGUUUGAUCACCCCAACAUAAUCCGGCUGGAGGGCGUGGUCACCAAAAGUCGCCCAGUCAUGAUCCUCACUGAGUUCAUGGAGAACUGUGCCCUGGACUCCUUCCUCCGGCUCAACGAUGGACAGUUUACAGUCAUCCAGCUGGUGGGCAUGUUGCGGGGCAUUGCUGCUGGCAUGAAAUACUUGUCUGAGAUGAACUAUGUGCACCGUGACCUGGCUGCCCGCAAUAUCCUUGUCAACAGCAACCUGGUCUGCAAAGUCUCGGACUUCGGUCUCUCCCGCUUCUUGGAGGACGAUCCCUCUGAUCCUACCUACACCAGCUCCCUGGGCGGGAAGAUACCCAUCCGCUGGACCGCCCCAGAAGCCAUAGCCUAUCGGAAGUUCACCUCUGCUAGUGAUGUCUGGAGCUAUGGAAUCGUCAUGUGGGAGGUCAUGAGCUAUGGAGAGCGACCCUACUGGGAUAUGAGCAACCAGGAUGUCAUCAAUGCUGUGGAGCAGGAUUACCGGCUGCCUCCACCCAUGGACUGCCCCACAGCACUGCACCAGCUCAUGCUGGACUGCUGGGUGCGGGACCGGAACCUCAGGCCCAAAUUCUCCCAGAUUGUCAACACCCUAGACAAGCUUAUCCGCAAUGCUGCCAGCCUCAAGGUCAUCGCCAGUACCCAGUCUGGCAUGUCUCAGCCCCUCCUGGACCGCACGGUCCCAGAUUACACGACCUUCACAACAGUUGGUGACUGGCUAGAUGCUAUCAAGAUGGGGCGGUACAAAGAGAGCUUUAUCAGUGCAGGGUUUGCAUCCUUUGACCUGGUGGCCCAGAUGACUGCAGAAGACCUACUCCGGAUUGGGGUCACCUUGGCUGGCCACCAGAAGAAGAUCCUCAGCAGUAUACAGGACAUGCGGCUGCAAAUGAACCAGACGCUGCCCGUGCAGGUCUGACCCCCAAUUCCUACUGAGUGGGUACCCCCCAAGGACUGUGCAGGGUCUCUGACCAGCCGGCUGGACUUGUGGACUUUUGGAUGCCUGGCCUUAGGCUGUGGCCCAGAAGAUGGAGGUUUGGGGAGGGCCCAAGCUGGGACUUCUCCUUCAGGCCUGUGCUCCCUCCCCAGGAAGUGUGCCCCAAACCUCUUCAUAUUGAAGAUGGAUUAGGAGAGGGGGUGAUGACCCCUCCCCAAGCCCCUCAGGGCCCAGGCCUUCCUGCUGUCCAGUGGGAGAUCCCCACCACCUCAGACUUGGCUGUGCUUCAGUGCCAGAGGUCCUGGCAGGGUCAGUUUGGGGAUGAGCCUGGGUUCCAUAGGGCCCAGCCCUGGAAGGGGUCCGGCCCCCCAGGUAGGCAGAGAGCAGUCCCUCCCUCAGGAACUGGAGGACAGGACUCUGGGAAUGGGGAAAUGUGACACCCCAUCCCGAAGCCAGCUGGCACCUUCAGUUUGCACAGGGACUUGUUCUGGGGGCUGAGGGCCCUGCCCCACCCCCGCCCUUGGUGCUGUCAUAAAAGGGCAGGUAGGGGCAGGUUGAGGGGCAGCCCCUUGCCCCCAGAGACUGACUCUCCGAGCCAGAGAUUGGAUAUGUGUGUGUAUGUAUGUGUGUGUGUGUGUGUGUGUGUGUGUGUGUAUGUGUGCACGCACUGGCCUGCACAGAGAGCAUGGGUGAGUGUGUAAAAGCUUGGCCCUGUGCCCUGCAGUGGGGCCAGCUGGGCCAUCAGCGGAAUAAAGGCAAUAAGAUGA